CACAAUAGAAAUUAGGGAAGAUAAACUCCAACGAAAAUGGGGAAGACAGUUUUAUUUUUAAAAAAAGAAGGAAAAUACAGGUUGUAGCUAGAGGCGUAAAGGCCAAGCAGGUGAUAGAGAAGAAAAAAAGAAAGAGAAAGAGAAAGAGAAAAAGAGAGAGGGAGAAGAGAGGGAGAGAAAGAAAAAUGGGGCUGUGCUUUGGUUGCUUCGAUGGGGGCAACAAGCGUAUGACCAAGGAGGAAGAGAGAUUGGCCUCUGAAGAAGCACGCGCCAGAGCCGCUGAAGCCGCCCAGAAAAAGCAAGAACAACAAGGAGGGGCAAAGCAACCAGAUAUGGGAAAGCAACCUGAAAACUCCAACAAUGGCGAACAAUUUGUAAAAGUUUAGCGAUUCAACAGGCCACUUAAUUUUUGGCAAAGGCAGAUGGGUUGAGGUUAGGCAAUUUGUCUGUCCGAGCCAAUUGUUUAUUACGUGUAAGUACUAAGUAUAGGUCCAGUCAAGUUCUCUGCACUGCCAGCUUUCCUUGUUCCGAAGAUGAUGAACAAAUGGUCUUUAUUGCAAUUGUACUAUAGGUCAAAAUUGUUAUUUACCUGACCAAGAAAUAUGCUGUUUGAUUACAAAGAAUUCGUGAUGUAAAAAGGAAACAAGGAUAAGUUGAGAAUGUAGUUCGGUGUUUUUAUUCC